UACGUAGGUGACAAGCGUUGUCCGGAUUUACUGGGCGUAAAGAGCGCGCAGGCGGUCGAUCAAGUCGAGUGUGAAAGCCCCCGGCUCAACUGGGGAGGGUCAUUCGAUACUGAUCGACUCGAAGGCAGGAGAGGGUAGUGGAAUUCCCGGUGUAGUGGUGAAAUGCGUAGAUAUCUGGAGGAACACCGGUGGCGAAGGCGGCAUCCUGGACCAAUAUUGACGCUGAGGUGCGAAAGCGUGGGGAGCAAACAGG
rnacentral:rRNA from 1 species